rnacentral:rRNA from 1 species
AUUGAACGCUGGCGGCAGGCCUAACACAUGCAAGUCGAGCGGAUGAAGCGAGCUUGCUGCUGGAUUCAGCGGCGGACGGGUGAGUAAUGCCUAGGAAUCUGCCUGGUAGUGGGGGAUAACGUCCGGAAACGGGCGCUAAUACCGCAUACGUCCUGAGGGAGAAAGUGGGGGAUCUUCGGACCUAACGCUAUCAGAUGAGCCUGGGUCGGAUUAGCUAGUGGGUGGGGUAAAGGCCUACCAAGGCAACGAUCAGUAACUGGUCUGAGAGGAGGAUCAGCCACACUGGGACUGAGACACGGCCCAGACUCCUACGGGAGGCAGCAGUGGGGAAUUUUCCGCAAUGGGCGAAAGCCUGACGAAGCAAUACCGCGUGAGGGAAGAAGGCUCUUGGGUUGUAAACCUCUUUUCUAAGGGAAGAACAAAAUGACGGUACCUAAGGAAUCAGCAUCGGCUAACUCCGUG